rnacentral:misc_RNA from 1 species
UUUCCGUAGGUGAACCUGCGGAAGGAUCAUUAAUGAGUUGUCAUGGGGUUCGAUGCUGGCAGCCAAUUUUUGGAUGCAUGUGCUUGCCCUAACAAUCAUCUUCCAAACACCUGUGCACAUUUAUGAGGGAGUCUUGAGUUGGUUGCCGCUCUUGGGUGAUUUUCUCACAUUCCCUUAAAUCAUUAUACGCUAUUAACAAUGUUGAACGUGCUCUGUGCCGCAAGGCUAUUAAUAUAAUACAACUUUUAACAACGGAUCUCUUGGCUCUC